UUGAUGCACGUGAGAUUACCCUUAGCUACAGUGGCAGAGAAAAGGGGUUUAUUUUUCGUCAUGGAAGAAACAGGAUAAAUCCUAUCCCAUAUAAAACAAUCAUGAGUAGGUGGUAUGGAUGAGUUCAACAUUAAAACAACAGCACACUUCGGAACAACGUUUGCAGGUAUAAUUUUUAAAAGGGGUCUUGGUCCCAUACACACGACGCAACUGGUGUUAGGCAUCUUCGCGGCUUGUUCAGUCAGAAGGAGCCAGUUGUUAGUCUGACCACUUAUUCCUGUGGAGGCCACGAAAUGGCUAUCUAUAUCAGUGAGGAGCACACUCGUGAUCUUCACUCCAGCUGUUGUAGUAUAAUUAUUCAUACCGGGACGGUCAGCCACUGACAUAGUUUUGUUAAUGCAGAUUACGACAGGGAAAUGAGGAUCAACACUGGAGGACCAAGCCCACAACUGAAACCCUGUCAAGUGACAUGGAGGUACGAGAUGGUGUAAAAUUAGGUAGUGAAUUUGGCCCAGGCACAUUGGCUAUCCCAAAACAUGUAGUAGUUCAAAAUUUCACCAGGAGAUGGUGUUAAAGCUUGACAUAGGGGUGACCUGAUGGAAAUGAACAAAUCUAACAAAUUAAAUAGUUAGCAAUUGGGAGGACACGACCUGUUCAAACACGUAGAUACGCACAAUUUUGGAAUAUGAAUCUGCUAUGCCAUAAUUUUAAGAUGCAACAGCUUGAGCAAUAUCAAUAUAUGUGUUUAGGUUGGAAGAACCCAUUAUUGUGUUAAGUAUUAUUAUGUGUUGAGAUUGAUCUUUAUUAGACAAGAUAUAUGUGAUUCAUGUUGCAAUGUUUUGUCCAACCUGUAUUUAACAUUGGUGUUCCAUCCAUACCUGAAGGCAUUAAGUUGAGAGGAGACUUAAGGGCUGAUACUAGAAGUAAAGAGCGAGCAAAACAGGAAACACCUGUUUCCGGUGAUUGCUGCUUGAAGCAAGGUUGCCAAGACAACCAGUGGUUUCUAGCCGGCCUGGACAGGCAUCAGCUAAGGAACAUUCUCGAAACUUCUAGAAACUUCCAGGGAGGCCACCUGACGUACCUGAUGAUGUCAUUCCAAUGAGGUAAUACCAGAAGCCUAUAAAUAGGUUGCCCGGACACAGAGCGGGCGCGCUUCUUCCUAGUCAGGGCGAUGGCCGUGACGCUGCCCGGAGUAAAAGAACGAAGAUGGAUUUUGCAUUCUUUUUGAGAUUGAACCAAAAUCUACUAAGAUGAAUUUCCAGAAUCUUCGAAUUGGACUUUGUCAAAUUUUAAGCUUUGAGGAAAGCAGAGGAGAGAGCAGAUCCUGGCGGAAAGGGGAAGUUGCCACUUUUACUUUCUCCUCAUGGCCAGACCUUUCCUCUUUUUUAAACAGAAUUCGGAUUUUGGAACAAAGGAGAGCCGAUCACUCGACUUGUUCAACCAAAUAGGAUUUUAGACCUUUAGUCUCCUCUCUUGUUCUGUCUGGGUGAGUCAUGUUAUUUUGUUUUUUCGACUUGCAAUUCUUUUUCUUGCUUAUUCAUUAAAUCUCUUCUUGAGCCUUAAUUCGGUAUCGAUUAUUUCGUAUUAACUAUGUCGAGCAUGGUUGUAUAUGCGGUAAUUACAACUUUAAAAUGUCUUUAUUUCCCUAUCAUAGUCAUUCUUUAAAUCCGUUCAAUUCUUUUUAAAGUGAAGACAGCUUUAAUCCUUAACAUCAGGAAUUGUCAGAUCUGGUUCGAAGUAGUUAUCUUGAGCUCAGCUAGGGCGAGGGCGCUCUAGUGAAUUAACGAAUCCUUGAGGUCUUAACAAAGGCAUCUAAAAAAUAUCCAUAACGUAAUACCAGCAUCAAACAACAGGAGGGAGCCAUCAUUACGGCGCGGUCAUACCGGCGACUUGUCUCGAAUUGAGUUACUCGGCUUGCGCGUCGGAUGACUUGAAAGGGGUUGGCGUCGUAUAGAAAUUACAUUGAUUCUGGUAGAAUUAAUUUAACUCGGGUGGUCAGCUACGGACGAGUCCCUCCGCCCCGGCUUAUUGAACCCGUUACUGGGGAGCCGGAGGCACUUCGAUAAAAAGUGCACGUUUGACAUUUUGGCGCCCAACGAGUUGAGGGGGGUUGUGAGUUAAGAUUUAUUAAUAGAUGUUUGCUCGCAGCUCCAAAACGAACCUGUGUGGAGUUUUUUCAGUUUUUUCUUCCUAGGAACUGUCAUAAUUCCGCUCACUGAUACAAACAAAUGUCAGAACGGCCUUGAGUGACAUAAAAACAGUUUCUUUAAGGAAUAGAGUUUCCUAGAAAAGAGCCUUUUAAAGCACGAGAGGAUUAGAACUGUUUUGUGUCAUAGUGAACGGUGACCGUUACCCCUUAGCACGUUGCUAUAAGGAUGAGUUUUGUUCGCAGAGUAUUCGGCAGAACUUGCGAAAGCUAGAGGGGCCGGUACAUGGGCACGUUUCUUGCGUGGCAGUACAUUGAAACGCAGAAAGUGCAUCCCGCCGUUGAGAGCAUCAAUUAGCGAGGCGGGAGUUCUCGAAUUGGUGUUCUGAGUAGAGGCGACGCAAAAGGCGCCGUUGAGUAACUAAGAGCUGUAUCGUCCCUAUUCCAAGUGCACACGGAAAGGCUUCGAAAGGAGACAGCUCGAACCUACAACUAUUUUUGUAGGCGGCUUGUGAAGUGAAGCUGGCCUCCAGAGUUUGCUAAAUACAUAGAGCUGGCAUGGGAGCGGCGCCUCACUGUGUAGUGUGUGCGCUUUUUGAGGAAGGAGUUUUAGAGAAUGAAGAAAAAAAGGAAAAAGCUAAAGAGGAAGAGCAGAGCAGGCCGUUCGCCCGGUGGGGGCUGAGUGUGCUCGGGGAGAGUUUUAAAGCGACAGUGUGUUUCCCACAGGGUGUUUGAAGCGGGGAGAGAAUGACAUUUGCGCUGCGUUGCUUGGUUGUUUCUAUGUUGUCUGUCGGUGUUGUGUUGUAAGACGAAAUUGGCUAUAAUGGUGCACUGAAGAAUAAGCUGGACUGUAGUUUGUCUGGUUUGCACCGCAAGUUUUUGCACAGGAAAAUAAGAGAGAUUAGGUUAUAUAAAGUUGAGGCAGCAAGAAUUUUGAUUAAUCUAUUGGCAGCCGUUUUUUUUUUUUUUUAAUCCAUUUUAUUCACUUUUGGGGGAAGUGAGUUAUCAGAAUCUUUGAGAGAGGAAAAAGAGGAAACAGCUGUCUCGAAAAAGGGAACUGUCGACAGCCUUGAGUAAGACCUCUGAGGCUGGCUGACUUAGAAGAAGAUGAACAUUUUUGAAGUUUUCUUUUUUUUUCUUUCUUCAAAAUUGUAAACAUUUUUGCUGUGAACAAUCAGGAGAUUAUUAAAAAGUGACUGAAGAAGAUUUGCCAGCAAAAAAUGUUGUGGCGGCAGUCCAAUUGCCACAAAAAGAAAGCUAUAUGCAUGUGUCCAGCACACAAACACACACAAGACUGAUGAGAUGUCAAAAGGAAACGAGUUGCACACAGGCCCGCAGAAGCAGACACUGCGAAAAGAGACGGAUCAAGAAAGGAUGGAGACCUGAAAGCUCAUUGGGGCUUCAUCCCUAAGAGGGGUUACCGACGUUGGGGAAGAACGCCCGGUGACGCACAGGCAAGAGAAAUUGCUCCCACAGUGUUGGAAAGACUGUUGGAGGUUGUGAACAGACACGCAGGGAGCGUGAGAGUCAUAACCAACAGCCGUUAUGGUGAAGAAGCCCUCAUAGACGUUCUGGACAUUUGGGAAGAACAUGACUAUGGGGGUGUAAAAGGAAGACCGGAUGGGCCCUAAGAGGGGGCCUGCUGGAAGAAUGAAGGUUCAUCGAAACGUCCAAGAAAGGAUAAUUAUAGUUGUAGGAGUUGAGAAAUGGGACAAGACCCCUCGCGGAAAGUGGUCCCAUAUGUGAGUCCGUGAAGAAUGUGGUAACGGCCGUACAUGAAGCCAUAGGGCACGGAAGAGCCGUGCCUACACGGAAAGGCGUUGGAGAAGCUGGAGCUCUGGAUUUCCAAAAUUGCAAUUCGUGCUGCCUUGCAUGAACUGUGUAACAGGUACAGCACAGGUCGCAGAGGACAGCGAACAGACAGAUUGACUUUCAAGCACUGUGCCAUGGGGGCCAGUAUGUCGCUGGACCCAUGUGAGUUGACAGCACAAGAGGUGUGCUUGUGGACUCCUUGUCAAGACAUGAAGGGCUGGAAGCUGUGAGAAGAGCCGACGCCAACAGGAAUCGUGAGCGUGAUCAAGACGCUUGAGGAAUAAAAUCCAGAGGGUGAGCAGUUGAAACAUUUGCCAGCUGACCCGAUUCGAGCUAGGAUGUAACCAAAAGAACCAGAUUACAGCUGACAACUUAGCUGUCCCCGCCUUGGUGUGUUUGGCCGCAUGCAAAGGUGCGGUUAUCAUACGAAGAAAACAGAACGGAAGAAUGGCCGGUCGGGCCCUGGACCUGCUGAGAAGAGCCACACGGGGCUGUGUCCCUAGGCGAUGUGACUCUUUUUAUUGGAACAGGGACGACGAAACACCGUGUGAGCAUUUGUGAGCAUCGUUGUCAAGUGGAAGGAGUCUGAAGUAAAGACCCAGCCUUCAGGAGGAAGACGACAUCGGUGCUUCGGAGGCAAGACACGUGACGUGGACUGACCUUUGGCGACUCCCGGAGCCUCUGCGGCCCCGGGUCUCCAGAUGUUUUGCAAGAUAAAUAGGUGACCAGUGAGUGUGUAGGCUUACUGUCCCAGCGAUGUUGAGUUGAUGGGGUAACUCCUCAGCAACGGUGAUAUAGAAUGGUGCAAAUUUAGACAGGUAAAUUUGGUAGUUUUAACGCACCGGCCAACUUUGCUAAUCUUACAUUAUAUUUGAUUUGCAAAUGUAAGUGGAGGAUAAAUUUGUUCGAAGAAGUCUCUCUUCCAGGAUGGGGAGAGUCAAGCACAAUGGUACAGCAAUGCCUAGUGUCCCGUUACCCAAGACUAAAUUCAGCAAUUAUUGACAGAAGAAAGCAAAAAACAAAAAGGGAAAUACUGGAGGAAUUUGAAUCCCCGGCCCCAACUUCCUCCCCUUUUUUAAAUUGUAAACGUCUUCUUAACAGGGCUCCAAAAAGCCUGUCUAGGAAGGCAUUGGAGAGUGUCAAAAAGAAUUAGAUAGAAUAAGUCCUGAUUUUAUAAUUUUGAAGGAGUUAGUAAUGAUAACUUCCUCCUUUUCAAAUUGUAAGCGUCUUUUUAACAGGGCUCCAAAAAGCAUGUUUAGGAAAGCAUUUGUCAGAGAGUGUCAAAGUAUAAUGUAGAAAGGUUUUGUAAUAGCAACUUCCAUUUUAUUUUUGUGUUUUAUUUUGGAAGCAAAUGUGAGCGAAACACCUGCUGGCCAGUCCCUCUGCCAUGCGGAGGGAUUGACUGUUCUAUGUUCUAAACUUGUGCGUCUAUGUGUUUCAGACAAGUACGUGUUUUGAUGUCGAUUGAAUCUGUCGAAAUUUGCCUAGACGGUCGGAAGGUUGUGGUGAGCUGUGGCUUUCCCACAUCCCUGCCGUCUUUAAAUGGCUUGCCCCUAAUGUCAAGCAAGGAGAGCAGGCUGAGUGGAGCGCCUUAGAUGGGGUGGCUACUCUGACCUGAUGACUUCAGCAACGCAACCCAAGACGUCCCACGGCCCACCGAGACCAUGGGUUGUCCUCGUUUUGAGACAGAGUGAUAUCCUGUCGCACCAUUUGGCCUCUGGUUCACAUGGCUUAGGGCCACCUGGACGGUUCACAAUGCUUCACGUCCCACUGGCGGUGUGGCCGGUGUGUGGCUGUUAGCCUGGCUCAUCGUCCUGUGUCCAAAGACUUCUACACCCGAGUAGAGGGACCCGAUGCUGCUCCUGUCGUGGCUGUGUGACCCUCCCUUCGGUGCGGAGGACCUUGCCUCGGACAUUGGUCCGGUGACGGCUUCUUCUUCGAGCCAUCACCGAGGGGGGCGUCGACGUCAACGACCACAUCGACAACAAUGGCAACGGCAGCGACGACGACAUCAGCGUCCGUCACGGCGGCCUGUUCAUUCAGGACCGCGUGGAGCGCUUGCUUCGGACCCGGGAGGGGCUUGCAGGAUAGGGCUGCCUCAGCCCGCCCGACAAACUACUCCCUGAUUCCUCUGCUGGAGAAGUUGUGGACAUAUAAUUUUAUUUUUUAUUUUUAUUUUUUUUCCGAGGACGAGAUGCCAAAGUGGCUCCCAACUGUGGUGGGGGGGGUAUGUUGCCUGUCCCGAAAUUCAAGGAGGGGUUGUCAAGUGACAUGGAGGUACGAGAUGGUGUAAAAUUAGGUAGUGAAUUUGGCCCAGGCACAUUGGCUAUCCCAAAACAUGUAGUAGUUCAAAAUUUCACCAGGAGAUGGUGUUAAAGCUUGACAUAGGGGUGACCUGAUGGAAAUGAACAAAUCUAACAAAUUAAAUAGUUAGCAAUUGGGAGGACACGACCUGUUCAAACACGUAGAUACGCACAAUUUUGGAAUAUGAAUCUGCUAUGCCAUAAUUUUAAGAUGCAACAGCUUGAGCAAUAUCAAUAUAUGUGUUUAGGUUGGAAGAACCCAUUAUUGUGUUAAGUAUUAUUAUGUGUUGAGAUUGAUCUUUAUUAGACAAGAUAUAUGUGAUUCAUGUUGCAAUGUUUUGUCCAACCUGUAUUUAACAUUGGUGUUCCAUCCAUACCUGAAGGCAUUAAGUUGAGAGGAGACUUAAGGGCUGAUACUAGAAGUAAAGAGCGAGCAAAACAGGAAACACCUGUUUCCGGUGAUUGCUGCUUGAAGCAAGGUUGCCAAGACAACCAGUGGUUUCUAGCCGGCCUGGACAGGCAUCAGCUAAGGAACAUUCUCGAAACUUCUAGAAACUUCCAGGGAGGCCACCUGACGUACCUGAUGAUGUCAUUCCAAUGAGGUAAUACCAGAAGCCUAUAGAUAGGUUGCCCGGACACAGAGCGGGCGCGCUUCUUCCUAGUCAGGGCGAUGGCCGUGACGCUGCCCGGAGUAAAAGAACGAAGAUGGAUUUUGCAUUCUUUUUGAGAUUGAACCAAAAACUACUAAGAUGAAUUUCCAGAAUCUUCGAAUUGGACUUUGUCAAAUUUUAAGCUUUGAGGAAAGCAGAGGAGAGAGCAGAUCCUGGCGGAAAGGGGAAGUUGCCACUUUUACUUUCUCCUCAUGGCCAGACCUUUCCUCUUUUUUAAACAGAAUUCGGAUUUUGGAACAAAGGAGAGCCGAUCACUCGACUUGUUCAACCAAAUAGGAUUUUAGACCUUUAGUCUCCUCUCUUGUUCUGUCUGGGCGACUCUUCUGUGAAGCUCCUGAAGUAUGCGGACGACACCAUUCUCAUCGGACUGAUCCGGGACGGUGACGAGACAGCAUACAGACAGGAGGUGGAGUAGCUGGUCCACUGGUGCAGCCAAAACCACCUGGAGCUGAACCCGCUCAAAACCGUGGAGAUGACAGUGGACUUCAAGAAGGACCCUUCGCCACUUCCACCCCUCACCAUACUCAGUAAUGAUAUUCCCACUAGACACCUUCAAGUUCCUGGGAUCCACAAUCUCCCGGGACCUGAAAUAGGCCGCCCACAUAGACUCUGUCAGGAAGAAGGCCCAACAGAGGUUGUACUUUCUGAGACAGCUCAGGAAGUUCAAUCUGCCACAGCUGCUGAAGAUGUUUUACACUGCCAUCAUCCAGUCUAUCCUCUGCACCUCCAUCACCUUCAGGUUUGGAUUGGCCACCAAACAAGACAAGCACAUACUGCAAAGGACAAUCAGUUCUACGGAAAAGAUAAUCGGGACCAAGCUCCCAUCUGUCCAAGACUUGUACCUGUCCAGGACCAGAAAACGUGCAAGUAACAUCUCUCCAGACCCUUCUCACCCAGGUCAGUCUGUUCAAACUACUCCCCUCCGGACGGCGUUACAGAGUGCUGUACGCCAAAACCAGCAGACACAGACACAGCUUUUUCUCCCAGGCUGUCGCUCUGAUGAACUCACACUACUCAGAGACAUCACUGUGCAAUAACAUCCUGCUCUUGCCACUUAAAUGUUGUUAGUUACCUGAAUGUUGGCAGUCACUUAAAUGUUGUACAGAGGCUGA